CGGUAACGUCGUAGGUAACCUUACGUCCCGUUUCGUUGGGACGGAACUACGUAGGAAAUCGGAGCUAAUACCGCAUAAUAAUGGAGGAUCGCAUGAUUCUUUAAGGAAAGAUGGCCUCUGAAGAUGCUAUCGCAAAAGGAUGGACCCGCGUCUGAUUAGCUAGUUGGAAGGGUAACGGCCUACCAAGGCAACGAUCAGUAGCCGGCCUGAGAGGGUGAACGGCCACAUUGGGACUGAGACACGGCCCAAACUCCUACGGGAGGCAGCAG
rnacentral:rRNA from 1 species